CAUGUAGAGAGCUAGAACUAGAAGGACAGUAAAAUGCUCGAAUAAUGGAACAGAAUUGAGGUUAUGCCCGAGAUAUGAUAUUACAGUAAUAACUGCAAAUACAAGUUGAGAGGAAGAUCAUAUUCCUUUUGUGGUGCAGCUGGAGUUCGUUAUCGUCUGCGCCGAUCAGAGCCCAUUGAAACGCAAGAAGAGAUUGAAAUUGGGGAAUGCUCACUGAGGCUGGUAAGUCAAAGAAAGCUAAGAAAUAGAAAAAGAAGGAUGGUAAUUCAUUUGAAACUCGAGAAGAGAUUGAAAUUGGUGAAAUGCUCACUGAGGCUGGUAAGGAAAUGAAACUGGAAAUUGUGAAGCAGAUCAGGAUCCUCUCCUGAGCUUAGGAGGUUGAGCCUCCUGAGUAAAUCCAUCGGACCGUUGAAAUUUGAUCCAACGGCUACAAACAAAAGGCCCUCUAAAAGUUAUAAUAAUUGUAGCCGUUAGAUCAAAUUCACUGAUCCGCCAUUUUGGACUCAAUUUUGGAUAUAUGUGCAUGUGCAUUUUAGCCACAUCACCAUCAUUCUCAAAUUCAUGCAAAAUGUAUAUAGCUUGGAUUUAGAAAUCCGCCAUUUUGGUUGUACAUAGAAUGCAAAUUGAAAAACUUAUUUUACCA